AGGGCGGCAUGCUUACCAUGCAGUCGAACGGUGAAGCAGAGCUUGCUCUGUGGAUCAGUGGCGAACGGGUGAGUAACACGUGAGCAACCUGCCCCUGACUCUGGGAUAAGCGCUGGAAACGGCGUCUAAUACUGGAUAUGAGCUGCGAUCGCAUGGUCAGCAGUUGGAAAGAUUUUUCGGUCUGGGAUGGGCUCACGGCCUAUCAGCUUGUUGGUGAGGUAAUGGCUCACCAAGGCGUCGACGGGUAGCCGGCCUGAGAGGGUGACCGGCCACACUGGGACUGAGACACGGCCCAGACUCCUACGGGAGGCAGCAGUGGGGAAUAUUGCACAAUGGGCGAAAGCCUGAUGCAGCAACGCCGCGUGAGGGAUGACGGCCUUCGGGUUGUAAACCUCUUUUAGCAGGGAAGAAGCGAAAGUGACGGUACCUGCAGAAAAAGCGCCGGCUAACUACGUGCCAGCAGCCGCGGUAAUACGUAGGGCGCAAGCGUUAUCCGGAAUUAUUGGGCGUAAAGAGCUCGUAGGCGGUUUGUCGCGUCUGCUGUGAAAUCCCGAGGCUCAACCUCGGGUCUGCAGUGGGUACGGGCAGACUAGAGUGCGGUAGGGGAGAUUGGAAUUCCUGGUGUAGCGGUGGAAUGCGCAGAUAUCAGGAGGAACACCGAUGGCGAAGGCAGAUCUCUGGGCCGUUACUGACGCUGAGGAGCGAAAGGGUGGGGAGCAAACAGGCUUAGAUACCCUGGUAGUCCACCCCGUAAACGUUGGGAACUAGUUGUGGGGUCCAUUCCACGGAUUCCGUGACGCAGCUAACGCAUUAAGUUCCCCGCCUGGGGAGUACGGCCGCAAGGCUAAACUCAGAGAUAUGUAUAUGA
rnacentral:rRNA from 1 species